CGAACGCUGGCGGCAGGCCUAACACAUGCAAGUCGAGCGCACUCUUCGGAGUGAGCGGCGGACGGGUUAGUAACGCGUGGGAACAUACCCUUUUCUACGGAAUAGCCUCGGGAAACUGAGAGUAAUACCGUAUACGCCCUUCGGGGGAAAGAUUUAUCGGAGAAGGAUUGGACCGCGUUAGAUUAGAUAGUUGGUGGGGUAAUGGCCUACCAAGUCUACGAUCUAUAGCUGGUUUGAGAGGAUGAUCAGCAACACUGGGACUGAGACACGGCCCAGACUCCUACGGGAGGCAGCAGUGGGGAAUCUUAGACAAUGGGCGCAAGCCUGAUCUAGCCAUGCCGCGUGAGUGACGAAGGCCUUAGGGUCGUAAAGCUCUUUCGCCAGAGAUGAUAAUGACAGUAUCUGGUAAAGAAACCCCGGCUAACUCC
rnacentral:rRNA from 1 species